AGAUACUCCUAUUUUUUGAAUAAAGGUAACUUAUUUAUCUUCGGGUGGCGGCAACAACACCGGAAAAUGGAGGAAAUUCAAAGCAAGCGAAUUCAGAUGAUUUGAAAAACUCGCUCUCGUUUUGAAUGAAGGCAUGUUAAAAGAAGGAAUGGAAACAGAUAGUACGUGCGACACGGCAGACUCAAGCACGCGCUCUCAAUUCAAUAGAUGAAAACAUUCCAAUUCGAAUCAGACUUCAACCUAUUUACAUUUACUUCGUGCUUUGACAAUGGUCUGUUUCGGUAUGGGACAUCUGACCGGAAUCUUGGAAAACAGUGAUAUUGAAAUGCGUUUUAUCGACCACUUUUUAUAGUUAAAUAAUCUUAGAAUAAAGCAUACUACGCCAAUACCCGCAUUAUUUUAGUUAUAAGGUUUCAAAAAAACUAAUUUGCAUUUUAAUUCAAAAUUUCGUCAUUUGGAAAACGCCCCGGAAAUUCAAGCCCACAAUUUAACCCAGAAAACUUAAUAUAAUUGUGAUCACCCAAUGGUAGCAAUUUAAGCAUGAGAAAAGUCUUAUGUCGUCCUAACGGUAUUUCAUGCGUGGAUGAACAUUUAAAACUGUAGUUGAAAAUAGUCCAUCCCUAAAUUUUUGCGUAGGUGUGGACACAUGGCUUU